UACGGAGGAUCCAAGCGUUAUCCGGAUUUAUUGGGUUUAAAGGGUGCGUAGGCGGCUUAUUAAGUCAGGGGUGAAAGACGGUAGCUUAACUAUCGCAGUGCCUUUGAUACUGAUGAGCUUGAAUGUACUUGAGGUAGGCGGAAUGUGACAAGUAGCGGUGAAAUGCAUAGAUAUGUCACAGAACACCAAUUGCGAAGGCAGCUUACUAAAGUAUGAUUGACGCUGAGGCACGAAAGCGUGGGGAUCAAACAG
rnacentral:rRNA from 1 species